GACAGAGGGUGCAAACGUUGUUCGGAAUUACUGGGCGUAAAGCGCGUGUAGGCGGCCCUGCAAGUCGGAUGUGAAAUCCCACGGCUCAACCGUGGAAGUGCAUCGAAACUGCAGGGCUAGAGUCCUGGAGAGGAAGGUGGAAUGCUUGGUGUAGAGGUGAAAUUCGUAGAUAUCAAGCGGAACACCGGUGGCGAAGGCGGCCUUCUGGACAGUGACUGACGCUGAGACGCGAAAGCGUGGGGAGCAAACAGG
rnacentral:rRNA from 1 species